CCUACGGGGGGCUGCAGUGGGGAAUAUUGGACAAUGGGGGCAACCCUGAUCCAGCCAUGCCGCGUGUGUGAAGAAGGCCCUCGGGUUGUAAAGCACUUUCAGUGAGGAAGAACGCCUGGUGGUUAAUACCCAUCAGGAAAGACAUCACUCACAGAAGAAGCACCGGCUAACUCCGUGCCAGCAGCCGCGGUAAUACGGAGGGUGCGAGCGUUAAUCGGAAUUACUGGGCGUAAAGCGCGCGUAGGUGGCUUGAUAAGCCGGUUGUGAAAGCCCCGGGCUCAACCUGGGAACGGCAUCCGGAACUGUCAAGCUAGAGUGCAGGAGAGGAAGGUAGAAUUCCCGGUGUAGCGGUGAAAUGCGUAGAGAUCGGGAGGAACACCAGUGGCGAAGGCGGCCUUCUGGACUGACACUGACACUGAGGUGCGAAAGCGUGGGUAGCAAACAGGAUUAGAUACCCUAGUAGUC
rnacentral:rRNA from 1 species